rnacentral:rRNA from 1 species
GUCUCCGUAGGUGAACCUGCGGAGGGAUCAUUG